rnacentral:sRNA from 1 species
GAACAUUUUCAAUUUUUUUUGGUUUUUCUAUGCCUUAGAUGAAUGCAGACUCAAGAGUAUAUACAAUGCAACACACACUUCCUGAGCCCUCCCCCAAACUUAAAUCACAUAGUCCACUAAGUGACUAAUCUUGGAAGAGAGUACUCAGGAGAAAUCCAAUCACAGAAACAAAAUAAAGAACAAAUCACAAGAGACGAUAUAAUACAAUGGUGAAGUGAGGCGCUUACCUCAGUCGAAGAAUGAACGGAGUUGGUCAUCAAUGGCUGCCUAUGAUUGCUCCCAGGCCAUAGACGAGCCGCCCUGUUCUGUAUCAGCUCCAGCAUGUGGGUACUCGACUUCAUCAGCUCUGUGGCGGCCAGCACUGCUCUUAGGAUACUCGACCUCUCUUCUUCUGCUGCGGCCAGUGUUGGUGUCGGAUCCCGCACUAUGGGCUUGGGACCGGCCAAAGAUUGCUACACAAAUAAGGAAGGCCCAUAAGAGGAAAGGCCCGUAAGAUUCUUCGAAGUAAGGGUAUGGGCGAGAUGUCGAUUCGCAAAGUGGGUGCAACGUCGAAGUUAGGACUACUCGAACUGAAGAAGAAAAAUGGGCCGAAGGGUGAAGUCCAGGAGGCUCGAAGUGGUUUCAAAUUCGAACGUUGA